UUACAUGUAGCCUAUUGAACU
rnacentral:siRNA from 1 species